GGGUAAAGUGGCCGAAUAGGUAUUGAGUUGUAGCCUCAAUAAUAAAGGUUUAAGUCCUUUCUAUGCCAA
rnacentral:tRNA from 1 species